AAAGACUCAAUUCUUAUAUUUUUGUGUCUAAUGUCUGACCGUCCGUCUUAUAUGAAAUUUUUUUGUGAUUAGUAUUUUCAUUCCUGUUAGAUGAUAAACCAUAAAUAAUACUUUAUACAUAACUUAUCUUUUAAAAUUUUUUCAUAAUUUUUUUAAAUAAGAUGGGCGGUCAAACGUUAGACACGAAAACCCAGAAAUUAAG
rfam:Oryza rufipogon genomic scaffold, chr03